rnacentral:rRNA from 1 species
CAAAAAACAUCAAAAAAUUAAGGAUUAACCACCACCGGCUGUCCAACGCCAAGAUCAAGGGGAAAAACAACACCUUAACCCACACGACUCUUCCAAUCAUUAAAGCUGGGGGACAAACUAGGAUUAGAUACCCUACUAUGCCCAGCCGCAACAAGGCAGCAACAAAACACCAACUGCCCGCCCGAUUAGUACAAGCGAAAGCUUGAAACUCAAAGGACCUGACGGUGACCCACAUCUGUCUAGAGGAGCCUGUUUCGUAAUCGAUAACCCCCGCUUAACCUCACCACUCCUAGCCAAUCAGCCUAUCUACCGCCGUCGUCAGCCCACCCUGUGAAGGCACCAAAGUGGGCACAACAGUUGAUACACUAAAACGACAGGUCAAAGCGUAGCACAUGAAGUGGAGAAAAAUGGGCUACAUUUUCUAUAAAGAACACACGGAAGGACGAAAUGAAAAAGCGCCUGAAGGCGGAUUUAGCAGUAAGACCGGAUAAAAUACCCGCCUGAACCAAGCACUGGGACGCGUACACACCGCCCGUCACCCCCACUCCCCAACCGCCACACCUCCCUAUACCAAAAGGAAACCCAAGGUGGGGUAAGNCGUAACNUGGUAAGCGUACUGGAAAGUGCGCUUGAACA